ACUGCAGUCGAGCGAACGGACGAGAAGCUUGCUUCCUCCUGAUGUUAGCGGCGGACGGGUGAGUAACACGUGGAUAACCUACCUAUAAGACUGGGAUAACUUCGGGAAACCGGAGCUAAUACCGGAUAAUAUUUUGAACCGCAUGGUUCAAAAGUGAAAGACGGUCUUGCUGUCACUUAUAGAUGGAUCCGCGCUGCAUUAGCUAGUUGGUAAGGUAACGGCUUACCAAGGCAACGAUGCAUAGCCGACCUGAGAGGGUGAUCGGCCACACUGGAACUGAGACACGGUCCAGACUCCUACGGGAGGCAGCAGUAGGGAAUCUUCCGCAAUGGGCGAAAGCCUGACGGAGCAACGCCGCGUGAGUGAUGAAGGUCUUCGGAUCGUAAAACUCUGUUAUUAGGGAAGAACAUAUGUGUAAGUAACUGUGCACAUCUUGACGGUACCUAAUCAGAAAGCCACGGCUAACUACGUGCC
rnacentral:rRNA from 1 species